ACAACACAUAGUGUGCAGCGUCAAGACCUGCGCACAUCCUGACAAGAGCAGGUGGGCCAUCCGCGCGUCACCUCGUGCGUGUUGUCUAUGUAACAGGCCAUCACGGAUAGGCCUUAUGCAUCUGGGGCCAGCGUGCACGCAGGCUAGCCCCUGUCCGUGCGGCAGGAGACCUGUGCAACCACAGGCUAGCCUGCAGUGUGUAGUCACUACCUUGGGUGGCGCGCCCACGCCACCUGUGGAGGAGGCCCUCCUCC
rnacentral:lncRNA from 1 species